GACGAACGCUGGCGGCGUGCUUAACACAUGCAAGUCGAACGGAAAGGCCUCUUUCGGGGGGUACUCGAGUGGCGAACGGGUGAGUAACACGUGAGUAACCUGCCCUUGACUUUGGGAUAACUUCAGGAAACUGGGGCUAAUACCGGAUAGGAGCUCCUGCUGCAUGGUGGGGGUUGGAGAGUUUCGGCGGUUGGGGAUGGACUCGCGGCUUAUCAGCUUGUUGGUGGGGUAGUGGCUUACCAAGGCCUUGACGGGUAGCCGGCCUGAGAGGGUGAACGGCCACAUUGGGACUGAGAUACGGCCCAGACUCCUACGGGAGGCAGCAGUGGGGAAUAUUGCACAAUGGGUGGAAGCCUGAUGCAGCGACGCCGUGUGGGGGAUGACGGCCUUCGGGUUGUAAACCGCUUUCGCUCAUGACGAAGCUUUGUGUGACGGUAGUGGGUAAAGAAGCACCGGCUAACUACGUG
rnacentral:rRNA from 1 species